GAUGAAGAACGCAGCGAAAUGCGAUACGUAAUGUGAAUUGCAAAUUCAGUGAAUCAUCGAGUCUUUGAACGCACAUUGCGCCCCCUGGUAUUCCGGGGGGCAUGCCUGUCCGAGCGUCAUUGCUGCCCUCAAGCACGGCUUGUGUGCUGGGCCCCGUCCUCCGAUCCCGGGGGACGGGCCCGAAAGGCAGCGGCGGCACCGCGUCCGGUCCUCGAGCGUAUGGGGCUUUGUCACCCGCUCUGUAGGCCCGGCCGGCGCUUGCCGAUCAACCCAAAUUUUUUAUCCAGGUUGACCUCGGAUCAGGUAGGGAUACCCGCUGAACUUAAGCAUAUCAAUAAGCGGAGGA
rnacentral:misc_RNA from 1 species